UACGGAGGGGGCUAGCGUUGUUCGGAAUUACUGGGCGUAAAGCGCACGUAGGCGGCUUUGCAAGUCAGAGGUGAAGGCCCGGGGCUCAACCCCGGAAUAGCCUUUGAGACUGCAUCGCUAGAAUUGUGGAGAGGUAAGUGGAAUUCCGAGUGUAGAGGUGAAAUUCGUAGAUAUUCGGAAGAACACCAGUGGCGAAGGCGACUUACUGGACACAUAUUGACGCUGAGGUGCGAAAGCGUGGGGAGCAAACAGG
rnacentral:rRNA from 1 species